GACGAAUACUCCACAGGUUGCUUUUGGCUUGUGGGCCGUUUCAUAUGUUGGAAGCUUCUUCAACUUUCUGACUCUGUUCUACAUGGGGGUCAUUUUCAGUCUUGUGAUUCCUCCAUUAUAUGAGAAUUACCAAGAUCAAAUUGAUGAUAAGCUCAUUUUGGCACAUAACAUCAUCCGUUCUAAGUACAAGAAAAUCGAUGAUACAAUUUUGAAAAAGAUUUAUGUGCCUCUAAACAAGGAAAAGAAGUUUCAGUAAAUCUAAGGUGUGGAGUCUCUAUGGCCCUCUCCUGUACUUUUGGCUAAGCACUUAGGAUGAACAUACCAGGAGCAUUGUGAAUGAAUAGAAUGGUAUCGACUGCCAUUCACUCAAAUGCUUUAGAGGGUGUAGCUGAUAUGUACAAUUUCCUCAUUUUUCUUGUUUUUUGAAGACCAUUGGUGUAACAAAUUCUGGCUAAUGCUUCACUUGCCUUUUCUAACUA